AGGAGCUGAUCGCAUUAGGAGAAGUUGUUGGAACAGAGAGCAGGGGUCUUUCUGCAGAUUCAAUAGCUUCUUUGGCUUCCGUCAACUAUAAAUCACAAGACACUAAGGAAGGGAUCAGUGAUUCCUGCGUCAUAUGUAGAUUGGACUAUGAGGAUGGCGAUGCUUUGACUGCUCUCUCUUGCAAACAUUUAUAUCACCCAGAAUGUAUCAACAAUUGGUUACAAAUCAACAAGGUUUGCCCCGUGUGCAGCACCGAAGUAUCAAACUCUUUGGGGAAAAGCUAGUAGACUCCAUUAUCUAAAUUCUUAUACGGUGUGGAGGAGGAGGAGGAGCAAAUAAAUGGGAUGCAUUCAAGCUUGCUUUGUUAUGCAAGCUUGUGUCUUUUCACAAAUUUCUUGGCAAUAUUAUGUUAGCUUCUCUAGUUCAUGAAUUCUUUGA